CUACGUGCCAGCAGCCGCGGUAAUACGGAAGGUCCAGGCGUUAUCCGGAUUUAUUGGGUUUAAAGGGAGCGUAGGCUGGAGAUUAAGUGUGUUGUGAAAUGUAGACGCUCAACGUCUGACUUGCAGCGCAUACUGGUUUCCUUGAGUACGCACAACGUUGGCGGAAUUCGUCGUGUAGCGGUGAAAUGCUUAGAUAUGACGAAGAACUCCGAUUGCGAAGGCAGCUGACGGGAGCGCAACUGACGCUGAAGCUCGAAGGUGCGGGUAUCGAACAGGAUUAGAUACCCUGGUAGUCCGCACAGUAAACGAUGGAUGCCCGCUGUUGGUACUUGGUAUCAGCGGCUAAGCGAAAGCAUUAAGCAUCCCACCUGGGGAGUACGCCGGCAACGGUGAAACUCAAAGGAAUUGACGGGGGCCCGCACAAGCGGAGGAACAUGUGGUUUAAUUCGAUGAUACGCGAGGAACCUUACCCGGGCUUGAA
rnacentral:rRNA from 1 species